rnacentral:rRNA from 1 species
UCCAACUCCUGUCUAUGGUCCUCGGGGGUACGUCGGGUUCAACGUUGGUCCGGAAUUUCUGUUGGGUAAGGGUUCUUAGUUGGUGUAUUAAGUCAGAUGUGAAAGCUCAGUGCCCAACCCUGUGCGUGCAUUUGAUACUGCUCUGACUAGAGUCCGGUAGGGGAGUGCGGAAUUCCUGGUGUAGCGGUGAAAUGCGCAGAUAUCAGGAGGAACACCGACAGCGAAGGCAGCACUCUGGGCCGGUACUGACACUGAGGAGCGAAAGCAUGGGUAGCAAACAGGAUUAGAUACCCGUGUAGUC